UCCGGUUUGUCACCGGCAGUCUCCCUAGAGUGCCCUUGCGUAGCAACUAGGGACAAGGGUUGCGCUCGUUGCGGGACUUAACCCAACAUCUCACGACACGAGCUGACGACAGCCAUGCAGCACCUGUGUUCCGAUUCCCUUUCGGGCACCCCCACCUCUCAGCAGGGUUCCGGACAUGUCAAGGGUAGGUAAGGUGGGGAUGACGUCAGUGACCUUUGC
rnacentral:misc_RNA from 1 species